rnacentral:tRNA from 1 species
GGGGGAGUGUCCCGAGUGGCAAAGGGAGCUGACUGUAAAUCAGCCGCUUCGUGCUUCAGUGGUUCGAAUCCACUAUCCGCCA